CUAUUUCCAUUGUAUGUACAUUUGCUGAGUUCGCAGUGUUUCAACUUUAGAGAGAUCUGCAACAACUUUACUGCCGGCAGAAAACGUACAGCCCAUGUCUUUUGAAAGUAAGAGUAAAGAUUCUGCAGGCCCAUUGUUAAUGGUAUGGACUGCACUGUGGGCCCUAGCUGCGAAAUUCCUGCUGAAGGUGGUGUGUCUGGUUCUUUGGCAUCCACUGGCUGAUGGUGCAGGGAUAUUCAUGCACAAACACAAUAGACGGAAGUUUUCGGCACCUAUGGGCAUUUUUGUGAGCCCAACCUGAACUGUCACAUUUGGCUGAGCUGCCCUCCGCCCCCUGGAUCUUACUUCAGUUUUCUCCACUUCGUCAUACAAGGACAUGUAAGGCUGUCCUUCUCAAAUGUAGCCCACUGGACACUUUCUGAAAGUGUGUGGUAGCAGUAUAGGUAGUAGUCUACCAAAUAGCAUCUCGUCCAGGUCAGAGUUCGAGGUGCACCCAACUUUUGAUACAGCACUUCAUGGUUCCUCGAAUGCCAUUGGUGACAUAUGUGACAGGACUUGUUGUAAUAAAGUGUUGUCUUAUGUGA
rnacentral:lncRNA from 1 species